UAGAGGACUGAGCCACAAGGCAGGAAUUUCACCUGCUGAUAGUGGGGAUGAUUUCUCUCCAGUCUGAUCUAGAGCCAUGCUUGUCUGCUCAGCUGCCCCCCACCCCAACAUAGGGGAGGGGAGGUGGCGUCCAGGACUGUGCAAAGAUGAGAGGAUGGCUUGGAAGACAUCCUGCUGUCUGCCAUUAAGAGGAAACAGUCUACACCCAAUAUGAAAGGGGAAAAGGUAACAGAAGCGAAGAGAUAAGUCAGAUGAGAAAUGUUAAAGGAAUUAGGGGCCUUCCUCAGCAGUUUGAAGCCUAUCUUCUUUUAUAACCUGCCUGCCUGCUUCCUUCAGUAAUUCAGAUUUGCCCCCCAAAACUACAGACUUGGCAACUCCUUAGAAACCCCACUGGGAUGGAUUAAAAUAGGAGUAAAAGCUGUCUUCAGAACUAGCCCCGAAUGA